UACGUAGGUGGCAAGCGUUAUCCGGAAUUAUUGGGCGUAAAGGGAGCGCAGGCGGUUGGAAUAGUCUGAUGUGAAAGCCCCCGGCUCAACCGGGGAAGGUCAUUGGAAACUGUUUCGCUUGAGUGCAGAAGAGGAGAGUGGAAUUCCAUGUGUAGCGGUGAAAUGCGCAGAGAUAUGGAGGAACACCAGUGGCGAAGGCGACUUUCUGGUCUGCAACUGACGCUGAUGUGCGAAAGCGUGGGGAUCAAACAGG
rnacentral:rRNA from 1 species